rnacentral:snoRNA from 1 species
GCUGAAGAAGUGAUGAGCUUCAUGUCUCUUCUCUGACAAAACACUAAUGAGGAGAACUUUCACAACUCUGAUCUCAGC